rnacentral:rRNA from 1 species
CAAUAAAGCGUUUUAAGAGCAUUUGGUGGAUGCCUUGGCAUUAAGAGGCGAUGAAAGACGUGGUACGCUGCGAUAAGCGACGGGGAGGUGCGAACAACCUUUGAUCCGUCGAUCUCUGAAUGGGGGAACCCACUGCACACUGCAGUAUCCUGUUCUGAAUACAUAGGACCAGGAAGCAAACCCGGCGAAUUGAAACAUCUAAGUAGCCGGAGGAAAGGAAAUCAAACGAGACUCCGUUAGUAGUGGCGAGCGAACGCGGACCAGGCCAGCCUUUACGAAAAGAACAAUUUGAAUCAUCUGGAAAGAUGAACGACAGAGGGUGAUAGUCCCGUAGAAGUAAUGUCUUUUUGUAGAGCUCGAGUAGGGCGGAACACGUGAAAUUCUGUCUGAAUAUAGGGGGACCAUCCUCUAAGCCUAAGUACUCCUUAAUGACCGAUAGUGAACUAGUACCGUGAGGGAAAGGCGAAAAGAACCCCAAGAAGGGGAGUGAAAUAGACCCUGAAACCAAAUGCUUACAAUCAGUCAGAGCACCUUUAAGGUGUGAUGGCGUACCUCUUGCAUAAUGGGUCAGCGAGUUAGUCUCUGUAGCAAGCUUAAGCCGAUAGGUGUAGGCGCAGCGAAAGCGAGUCUGAAUAGGGCGAUUGAGUUACAGGGAUUAGACCCGAAACCGGGUGAUCUACCCAUGGACAGGUUGAAGUUACGGUAACACGUAAUGGAGGACCGAACCAUAUGCUGUUGCAAUAGCUGUGGAUGAUCUGUGGGUAGGAGUGAAAGGCUAAUCAAACUCGGAAAUAUCUGGUUCUCCGCGAAAUAUAUUUAGGUAUAGCGUCAGAGGGUUACCAUCGGGGGUAGAGCACUGGAUAGGCUAGGGGGGAGCAAUCUCUACCAAACCUAACCAAACUCCGAAUACCGAUGAGUAUACUCUGGCAGACAGACUACGGGUGCUAAGGUCCGUGGUCGAAAGGGAAACAGCCCAGACCGCCAUCUAAGGUCCCCAAGUCAUCAUUAAGUGGGAAAGGAUGUGGGAAGGCCAAGACAGCUAGGAGGUUGGCUUAGAAGCAGCCAUCCUUUAAAGAAAGCGUAACAGCUCACUAGUCUAGUUAAGCCGUCCUGCGCCGAAAAUGUACCGGGGCUAAAAUGAUGCACCGAAGAUGCGGAUUUUAGGAAUCUAUCGUGAUUCUUAAAGUGGUAGCGGAGCGUUCUGUAAAUCUGCGAAGGAAUACGGUGACGUAUUCUGGAGAUAUCAGAAGUGAGAAUGCUGACAUAAGUAACGACAAAGCAUGUGAGAAACAUGCUCGCCGAAAGUCCAAGGUUUCCUGCGCAAGGUUAAUCCGCGCAGGGUUAGUCGGCCCCUAAGGUGAGGGCGAAAGCCGUAAUCGAUGGGAACAAGGUUAAUAUUCCUUGACCAGUCUGAAGUGACGAAGAUUGUAAGGUGUCUUUCCUAAUUGGAUUGGAAAGGCAGUGAAAAUCUUCCAGGAAAUAGCUCAGACGUAAAUGACCGUACCCUAAACCGACACAGGUGGAUGAGUAGAAUAUACUAAGGCGCUUGAGAGAAAUAUGUUGAAGGAACUCGGCAAAUUGACCCUGUAACUUCGGAAGAAAGGGUACCCAUCUUUGGGCAACCAGAAAUGGGUGGCACAGAAUAGGGGGUGGCGACUGUUUAUCUAAAACACAGGACUAUGCUAAGUCGAAAGACGAUGUAUAUGGUCUGACGCCUGCCCGGUGCUGGAAGGUUAAGAGGAGGUGUGCAAGCUCCGAAUUGAAGCCCCAGUAAACGGCGGCCGUAACUAUAACGGUCCUAAGGUAGCGAAAUUCCUUGUCAGGUAAGUUCUGACCCGCACGAAUGGCGUAACGAUCUCCCCACUGUCUCCAACAUAUACUCAGUGAAAUUGAAUUCUCCGUGAAGAUGCGGAGUACCCGUGGCUAGACGGAAAGACCCCGUGCACCUUUACUGCAACUUUACAGUGGUAUUAGGGUGUUCAUGUGUAGGAUAGGUGGGAGUCUAUGAAGCUUUGGCGCCAGCUAGAGUGGAGACGUCCUUGAAAUACCACCCUUGAAUGUUUUGAUAUCUAACCAGGAGCCCUGAAUCGGGCUUUGGGACCCUGUAUGGUGGGUAGUUUGACUGGGGCGGUCGCCUCCCAAAGAGUAACGGAGGCGCGCGAAGGUAGGCUCAGGCUGGUCGGAAAUCAGCUGUAGAGUGCAAUGGCAUAAGCCUGCUUAACUGCAAGACUGACAAGUCGAGCAGAGACGAAAGUCGGUCAUAGUGAUCCGGUGGUUCUGUAUGGAAGGGCCAUCGCUCAACGAAUAAAAGGUACGCCGGGGAUAACAGGCUGAUCUCCCCCAAGAGUCCACAUCGACGGGGAGGUUUGGCACCUCGAUGUCGGCUCAUCACAUCCUGGGGCUGAAGCAGGUCCCAAGGGUAUGGCUGUUCGCCAUUUAAAGUGGUACGUGAGCUGGGUUCAGAACGUCGUGAGACAGUUCGGUCCCUAUCUACCAUGGGUGUUGAAGAAUUGAUAGGAUUUGUCCCUAGUACGAGAGGACCGGGAUGAACGUAUCUCUGGUGUACCGGUUGUUCCGCCAGGAGCAUCGCCGGGUAGCUAUAUACGGACGGGAUAACCGCUGAAAGCAUCUAAGCGGGAAACCCACCUAAAAACUAGUUCUUCCUAUGAGAGACGUUGUAGACCACGACGUUGAUAGGCUGGGUGUGGAAGCGUGGCAACAUGUGAAGCUAACCAGUACUAAUAUCUCCAUCGGCUUUAUUUUGAUC